rnacentral:rRNA from 1 species
CCUACGGGGCGCAGCAGUCGGGAAUAUUGCGCAAUGGAGGAAACUCUGACGCAGUGACGCCGCGUAUAGGAAGAAGGUUUUCGGAUUGUAAACUAUUGUCGUUAGGGAAGAAAAAAGACAGUACCUAAGGAGGAAGCUCCGGCUAACUACGUGCCAGCAGCCGCGGUAAUACGUAGGGGGCAAGCGUUAUCCGGAUUUACUGGGUGUAAAGGGAGCGUAGACGGUCCUGCAAGCCAGAUGUGAAAGCCCGGGGCUCAACCCCGGGACUGCAUUUGGAACUGUAAGGCUAGAGUGUCGGAGAGGCA